rnacentral:tRNA from 1 species
GGAGGGUUGGCUGAGUGGUCGAAAGCGCCUCACUGCUAACGAGGUAGGGGUUUACGCCCCUCAAGGGUUCGAAUCCCUUACCCUCCG